UGAUCUGACGAGCUUGCUCUGAUUUGAUUUUAUCUGACAAAGAGUGGCGAACGGGUGAGUAACACGUGGGUAACCUACCUCUUAGCAGGGGAUAACAUUUGGAAACAAGUGCUAAUACCGUAUAAUACCAACAACCGCAUGGUUGUUGGUUGAAAGAUGGUUCUGCUAUCACUAAGAGAUGGACCCGCGGUGCAUUAGCUAGUUGGUAAGGUAACGGCUUACCAAGGCAAUGAUGCAUAGCCGAGUUGAGAGACUGAUCGGCCACAAUGGGACUGAGACACGGCCCAUACUCCUACGGGAGGCAGCAGUAGGGAAUCUUCCACAAUGGGCGCAAGCCUGAUGGAGCAACGCCGCGUGUGUGAUGAAGGGUUUCGGCUCGUAAAACACUGUUAUAAGAGAAGAACGGCACUGAGAGUAACUGUUCAGUGUGUGACGGUAUCUUACCAGAAAGGAACGGCUAAAUACGUGCCAGCAGCCGCGGUAAUACGUAUGUUCCAAGCGUUAUCCGGAUUUAUUGGGCGUAAAGCGAGCGCAGACGGUUAUUUAAGUCUGAAGUGAAAGCCCUCAGCUCAACUGAGGAAUGGCUUUGGAAACUGGAUGACUUGAGUGCAGUAGAGGAAAGUGGAACUCCAUGUGUAGCGGUGAAAUGCGUAGAUAUAUGGAAGAACACCAGUGGCGAAGGCGGCUUUCUGGACUGUAACUGACG
rnacentral:rRNA from 1 species